UGCUGUCUGUCAUUUUACAGGCACGUUCUUUUGAGUAUUGCUUUCAGCAGAAGCUCUUUGGGAUGAUGUCCUUAAUACUGAUAAGAAAUAGCACGUUUUUGAAUAAUAUGAUGACUGAAAUGCUGAGUAGUUAGUAAUUGCAGAAACUUCCUGAGCCAGGAUUCAUCCCUGUUAGACAUCCAACCAUUUGUGCCUCCAGUAACUCUCUCACAGGUUAGAAGGGGAGCUGUUGUGUGUGUAUUGUAGAAGGUAAGCUGGACCAGUGGAAGUUGAAGAAAGCUGCUGGGAAGGGGAACCUUGGAACUGAGGGCAUCCCAGCAGAGCCCUGCAAAGAACUGGAGCUGGCCUGGGCGGUCACCCGGAGGGGAUAUUGUGUGUCACACCACACAUCUGCCACAGCUGCCAGAGUACAGUGGGACCUUGUUUCAGCACAGCCAGGCACAAAAGCUCAUUUACCAAAAAGAGGAUGAUGAGGAAUAUUCUACAAGAUCUGAAGAAUGUGCCUGCAAUGGGUUGAGUUUUCCUAAGGACUUUCUUCUGCUCAGCUGGAAGCAUUGGAGGGAGCUGCUCCGUGCUGAGGCACCAGGACUCUUCCUCCUGUCCGUGAGGAGGUUUUGUGUGUAGUGAGCUGGUGGCUGCUCUACAAGGGAAUGAAGUUGGGAUUCAUCAUCUCUCAUGCAGGAAAACAGGGAGGAGCAGGCACAGGGCCAUCAAAGGUACAACAGAGGUGCUGGUGGGGAGGCAGGGAGUAUAAAACCAGCUUGUGCAAUGCAAAUGUGUAUUGCUGUUCCCUUCCAGCCUCUGUGCUCAGGUGGAGAGGUGAUGUCUUCGUGCUGCUGUCAAUUAGACUGCAAUUAAACACUGUUUAAUUUGCAGUGACAUUUAAAAGCAAUUAAGGAAGUUUAAAUGUUAAAUGUAUGUUUUUGUCUUUCCAGUCACACACAGCUUUGAAGGAAAAAAAAUAUCCCAAAUAUUUAAUUAUACACUUACAACUUUGUAAAUAAGCCUUACAGUACUAUAAAAAGAUUUUUAAUCUCUUGCAUAACUGCUUUAACUUCAUGCUUCAGGGUGUGGUGCUCUAUUAAAACACUGACACAUGUAGUUUCUUAUUGUAGCUCCUGUAUCCAGCAUUGUCUGGGGAGCAGUUGGGGUGUGCAUUUCCAUAUCUGCUUCAGGCAAAAUCACCCAGGUAGCUCAGAGCACCUAUACAAACCCUGUUGAGGUUUCCCUGAAGCAGG